UCUAUUAUGGCAGAUAAAGUGCAAUGAAUUUAAGCUUCAUAUAUGAGUUAUUAACUCUUUUAGAA
rnacentral:tRNA from 1 species